rnacentral:rRNA from 1 species
AGCAGCCGCGGUAAUUCCAGCUCCAAUAGCGUAUAUUAAAGUUGCUGCAGUUAAAAAGCUCGUAGUUGAAUUUCGGGACCAUCAUGUUGGUCGUGCCUCGGUACGUACUGGUAUUGUUGGUUUCUCCCUUCUGACGAACCAUGAUGUCAUUUAUUUGGUGUUGUGGGGAAUCAGGACUGUUACUUUGAAAAAAUUAGAGUGUUUAAAGCAGGCUCACGCUUGAAUACAUUAGCAUGGAAUAAUGAAAUAGGACGUUUGAUUCUAUUUUGUUGGUUUCUAGGAUCGACGUAAUGAUUAAUAGGGAUAGUUGGGGGCAUUAGUAUUCAAUUGUCAGAGGUGAAAUUCUUGGAUUUAUUGAAGACUAACUACUGCGAAAGCAUUUGCCAAGGAUGUCUUCAUUAAUCAAGAACGAAAGUUAGGGGAUCGAAGACGAUCAGAUACCGUCGUAGU